CCUACGGGAGGCAGCAGUGGGGGAUAUUGCACAAUGGGGGAAACCCUGAUGCAGCGACGCCGCGUGGGCGAAGAAGUAUUUCGGUAUGUAAAGCCCUAUCAGCAGGGAAGAAGAAAUGACGGUACCUGAGUAAAAAGCACCGGCUAAAUACGUGCCAGCAGCCGCGGUAAUACGUAUGGUGCAAGCGUUAUCCGGAUUUACUGGGUGUAAAGGGAGCGCAGGCGGCACGGCAAGCCUGAUGUGAAAGCCCGCGGCCCAACCGCGGGACUGCAUUGGGAACUACCGGGCUGGAGUGCCGGAGAGGUAAGUGGAAUUCCUAGUGUAGCGGUGAAAUGCGUAGAUAUUAGGAGGAACACCAGUGGCGAAGGCGGCUUACUGGACUGUAACUGACGUUGAGGCUCGAAAGCGUGGGGAGCAAACAGGAUUAGAUACCCGAGUAGUC
rnacentral:rRNA from 1 species